rnacentral:lncRNA from 1 species
AAUCUCCCUGUCCUCGGCCCUGCCUUCUCUUCUUUCUACCUUCAGAGUUUUCCUAUGUGGAAACUCAAGCAAGAGCCUUUCAAGCGAGAAAUGCAAAAGCCAUUGAAGUACAGCUCAGGGAAGUGACUG